AAAGAGGAAGUUCUCUGGGAAUCCUCUGCUUUUAACCCCUGUGUGUUCUCAGAGGCAUAUCCAGGUCCCCAGUGGCCACACCAGGUGCCAAUUUCAAAUCUGGCCACUGAUUGGUUUGACCUCAACUUUUCCAGAAACUCACUUCCGGGCCAAACCACGACAGAGCACAAGUCCUUUCAUUCUUCAUGGGAUGGAAGUUUUAAGAGCUACAAGCAGCUAAUCUGCCUGCAAAAAGGACCAUGCUUGGGACUCUUACCAACUCUACUGACACGUCUGCUGCAGUUUAUGGACGAUGUUAACUAGAGAGGACCUGAAAUGUUAGACUGAAAAAGAGGAAUCUCCUAAUCUCCCGUGAGGAUGGAAGCCCCAUCUCUGCCUGCAGACCAACGGACACAGCUGCAUCAUCCUCCUCCUCCGUGCCACUCCUGGGAGCAACGGUGUCACCAUCAUCAGAAUCCAACAGGAAAACACCUACAACACCAGUACUAAAGCAGAGAUCAAACACUAAGGACCGUGCCGCUCGUGACAGAGGAGACCAAGAACAGCACCCCUUCUGGUGAGAAGAUCAAAAGCCAAAGGAGAAUGAACUAUUAACCCACUAAGCAAAAAUGUAUUCGUUUAAUUCUGUUACUAUUCAUCAUUUCUGUUACUUUAUCCUCUGUAAUUAAGUCUCAAAUGCUUUUCUAUUACUGUUAAUUCAGCUUAAUAAUGUUCAUUUUAGUUUUGUAAACCAUUAAGUCAUAUUCCUGAGAAUUGCCUUGUUUUAACCAAUUUAUAAAUUGAGGAAUUGUAGAGCCUUCCCAUUCUGAGGAGGCUGUAAUCUGAUUUUAAGACUCCUCCCACGGGAUACCUGAUAAAACCCCAUGGCCCUAGGUUCUGCUUCCUCUCUGGCCCGCUGAGCUUUGCUCAGGCUACUGGACCUCCGCCUCCUGUGUUCCCCCCCGCCCCGGCACCGGGUGGGGGGUGUGGGAAAUAAAAUGGACU